GGGGCUAUAGCUCAGUGGCAGAGCGCAUGCCUAGCAUUCAUGAGGCACUGGGUUCACUCCUCAGCACCUCA
rnacentral:tRNA from 1 species